GUGGGCAUAGCUCAGUGGUAGAGUGUGUGCUUAGCAUGCACAAGGUCCUGGGUUCAAUCCGCAGUGCCUCCA
rfam:Camelus ferus unplaced genomic scaffold scaffold1889, whole genome shotgun sequence.